UUCGGUCGUUGGCCGAGCGGGCUAAGGCACGUCGACGCGAAAUGACGGAAUCCUCGGGCGUGAGUUCAAAUCCCAUGGCUGAAA